AGUGUAGGGUGAAUCCUUCUCUUUGGGGUGGGGUGGGUGAUCCCUUCCCUAUUGCAGGGUUCUGUUCCCUUGCUUUUUUGGAGGAUCCUGGCUGCAUUUGAGGGCUGGUAGCUAUCUGCACCUGGAAGCUGCUUCCUUUGAGUGUGGCUCGAUGGGGUUCAAGGAUUGCCUGGGCUCCUCCAAUCAGUGGUGUGAGAUCAGUGCAGCAGGCACUUCUCCUGACUGCUUCGACUUCUGAAAUACCAUUGAGAGUGGCUCAGUGACUGCAGUGGUGAAUUCCCUCAGAACUCUGGGACUCAUCUCAUCAGGACCCAAAGACUCCUGGAUGUUCGGGUCCUCAGGUGGCAGCAGAGCUGCGGCGCUCCCGAGUGCCGUAAUGACUGCACGGAGAGGUGAGGGUCUUCAUGGGAACAGCAAGGAACUGGAAUCUGCAUCUCUUGGAAUGCCCUGGAACCUCACUUUUCUGGCUGGUAAUUGUCUGCCCAGCAGGUGGCAGCAGAGCUGCGGUGCUCCUGAGUACCGUAACAACUGCACGGAGAUGUGUGGGUCUUCAUGGGAACAGCAAGGAACUGGAAUCUGCAUCUCUUGGAAUGCCCUGGAACCUCACUUUUCUGGCUGGUAAUUGUCUGCCCAGCAGGUGGCAGCAGAGCUGCAUUGCUCCUGAGCGCUUUAAGGUCAGCACGCAGAUGCGCGGCUCUUCACGGCAGCAGCAGGAACUGGAAUCUGCAUUUCCUGGAAUGCUCUGGAACCCCACUUUGCUGGCCGGUAAUUGUCUGCCCAGCAGGUGAAGAUGCCUUCGAUGCUUCCAGUCGAUGACUUCCCCCCUGCGAUGCCAUUGGCUUUUUUGGCCUCCCACACUCACCGCCAGCUCAGUUCAGUUGAGCCGUUACCCGAAUCCCCGCUCCGUUCCCUUUCCACGAUCUUCCUGUCACUCUGCCACAAGCCCCCACCAAGGUCAUCGCAGGCAACAUGUGGGAUGCGGCACUCGGUCUCACUGCAGUUCAUCCCAUCAGCUUCAGCCCAGCGAUCCAACCCACCCGCACCCUUCCUGAGGGCCCUUCUGUUCCCAGGCCAAUCAACGCUUCCUUCUGAUGCCAUCUGCGUUCCUUCCUGGCCACUUUAAGACUCGUGCCCCUUUGUGGCCAUUUUGAGAGUUGCGCUGAUUUCAGCAUGUGCGUUCAAUUGACUUCAACCAAAUUGGCUUUAGCUUUACAUUCAAUUAAUGUAAACCGAAUUGGCUUUAGCUUUACAUUCAGUUGACUUCAACCAAAUUGGCUUUAGCUUUACAUUCACUUAAUGUAAACCAAAUUGGCUUUAGUUUUCCAUCCAAUUAAUGUAAACCAAAUUGGCUUUAGCAUUGCCUUGCUUACGGGGUUGGGUUAGCUUUGCUUUGUUUGUUCUAGCGCAGGGCUAACCCAACCCCGUAACCAAGGGCCGGUGGAGGCGAUUUUGUUCCUCCCGGCCAGUCUGAGACUCGCGCCCCCUUGUGGCCAUUUGAAGAGUUGCGCUGAUUUCAGCGUCUGCAUUCAAUUAAUCUCAACCAAAUUUGGCUUUAGCCUUGCAGUCAUUUUGCAUCAACCAAAUUGGCUUUGGCUUUGCAUUCAACUUAAUUCAACCAAAUUGGCUUUAGCUUUACAUUCACUUAAUGUAAACAAAAUUGGCUUUAGUUUUACAUCCAAUUAAAUGUAAACGAAAUUGGCUUUAGUUUUCCAUCCAAUUAAUGUAAACCAAAUUGGCUUUAGCAUUGCCUUGCUUACGGGGUUGGGUUAGCUUUGCUUUGUUUGUUCUAGCGCAGGGCUAACCCAACCCCGUAACCAAGGGCCGGUGGAGGCGAUUUUGUUCCUCCCGGCCAGUCUGAGACUCACGCCCCCUUGUGGCCAUUUGAAGAGUUGCGCUGAUUUCAGCGCCUGCAUUCAAUUAAUCUCAACCAAUUUGGCUUUAGCCUUGCAGUCAUUUUGCAUCAACCAAAUUGGCUUUAGUUUUACAUUCAAUUGACUUCAACCAAAUUGGCUUUAGCUUUACAUUCAGUUGACUUCAACCAAAUUGGCUUUAGUUUUACAUCCAAUUAAAUGUAAACGAAAUUGGCUUUAGUUUUCCAUCCAAUUAAUGUAAACCAAAUUGGCUUUAGCAUUGCCUUGCUUACGGGGUUGGGUUAGCUUUGCUUUGUUUGUUCUAGCGCAGGGCUAACCCAACCCCGUAACCAAGGGCCGGUGGAGGCGAUUUUGUUCCUCCCGGCCAGUCUGAGACUCGCGCCCCCUUGUGGCCAUUUGAAGAGUUGCGCUGAUUUCAGCGCCUGCAUUCAAUUAAUCUCAACCAAUUUGGCUUUAGCCUUGCAGUCAUUUUGCAUCAACCAAAUUGGCUUUAGUUUUACAUUCAAUUGACUUCAACCAAAUUGGCUUUAGCUUUACAUUCAGUUGACUUCAACCAAAUUGGCUUUAGUUUUACAUCCAAUUAAAUGUAAACGAAAUUGGCUUUAGUUUUCCAUCCAAUUAAUGUAAACCAAAUUGGCUUUAGCAUUGCCUUGCUUACGGGGUUGGGUUAGCUUUGCUUUGUUUGUUCUAGCGCAGGGCUAACCCAACCCCGUAACCAAGGGCCGGUGGAGGCGAUUUUGUUCCUCCCGGCCAGUCUGAGACUUGCGCCCCCUUGUGGCCAUUUGAAGAGUUGCGCUGAUUUCAGCGUCUGCAUUCAAUUAAUCUCAACCAAAUUUGGCUUUAGCCUUGCAGUCAUUUUGCAUCAACCAAAUUGGCUUUGGCUUUGCAUUCAACUUAAUUCAACCAAAUUGGCUUUAGUUUUACAUCCAAUUAAAUGUAAACAAAAUUGGCUUUAGUUUUACAUCCAAUUAAUGUAAACGAAAUUGGCUUUAGCAUUGCCUUGCUUACGGGGUUGGGUUAGCUUUGCUUUGUUUGUUCUAGCGCAGGGCUAACCCAACCCCGUAACCAAGGGCCGGUGGAGGCGAUUUUGUUCCUCCCGGCCAGUCUGAGACUCGCGCCCCCUUGUGGCCAUUUGAAGAGUUGCGCUGAUUUCAGCGUCUGCAUUCAAUUAAUCUCAACCAAAUUUGGCUUUAGCCUUGCAGUCAUUUUGCAUCAACCAAAUUGGCUUUGGCUUUGCAUUCAACUUAAUUCAACCAAAUUGGCUUUAGUUUUACAUCCAAUUAAAUGUAAACGAGAUUGGCUUUAGUUUUCCAUCCAAUUAAUGUAAACGAAAUUGGCUUUAGCAUUGCCUUGCUUACGGGGUUGGGUUAGCUUUGCUUUGUUUGUUCUAGCGCAGGGCUAACCCAACCCCGUAACCAAGGGCCGGUGGAGGCGAUUUUGUUCCUCCCGGCCAGUCUGAGACUCGCGCCCCUUUGUGGCCGUUCUGAGAAUUGCAAUGUCUUUGGAUGGGCUGAGAUCUGCACUGCUUUUGAGGUGUGUUCUCACAAAUGUGGUGUCACUAAUGGGGUAUGGUGGGUUUGUACCCUUUCUCUGGUUGGUAUGACGUCUAUGUGAACCAUGUGUUACAGCUGUACUGCAUAUGUGUGUGCUGCACCUGUAAAUUGCGUCGUGCCAUGUACGCAAUAUGUGUUAUGUUGCGCCUGUAAACUGUGUUGUGCCUUGUACAGAAUGUGUGGAUGCUGUGCCUAUAAACUAAGUUGGGGAAUCACAGACCCCUAUUCAUUACAUGUUCUGCUUCUCAAUGCAUUGUUGCUGGUAU